rnacentral:rRNA from 1 species
CUUCGGAUGACCUGUGGGUAGGGGUGAAAGGCCAAUCAAACUGGGAGAUAGCUCGUACUCCCCGAAAUGCAUUUAGGUGCAGCGUCGAUAUAGUUUAUUAGAGGUAGAGCUACUGAUUGGAUGCGGGGGUUUCAUCGCCUACCAAUUCCUGACAAACUCCGAAUGCUAAUAAAUGAUUGUCGGCAGUGAGGGCAUGGGUGCUAAGGUCCAUGUCCGAGAGGGAAAGAACCCAGACCAACAGCUAAGGUCCCUAAAUAUAUGCUAAGUUGAAAGAA